rnacentral:rRNA from 1 species
AAUAGAUACCCAGGUAGUCCACGCCGUAAACGAUGAGUGCUAAGUGUUAGAGGGUUUCCGCCCUUUAGUGCUGCAGCUAACGCAUUAAGCACUCCGCCUGGGGAGUACGGCCGCAAGGCUGAAACUCAAAGGAAUUGACGGGGGCCCGCACAAGCGGUGGAGCAUGUGGUUUAAUUCGAAGCAACGCGAAGAACCUUACCAGGUCUUGACAUCCUCUGACAACCCUAGAGAUAGGGCUUUCCCCUUCGGGGGACAGAGUGACAGGUGGUGCAUGGUUGUCGUCAGCUCGUGUCGUGAGGUGUUGGGUUAAGUCCCGCAACGAGCGCAACCCUUGAUCUUAGUUGCCAGCAUUCAGUUGGGCACUCUAAGGUGACUGCCGGUGACAAACCGGAGGAAGGUGGGGAUGACGUCAAAUCAUCAUGCCCCUUAUGACCUGGGCUACACACGUGCUACAAUGGAUGGUACAAAGGGCUGCAAACCUGCGAAGGUAAGCGAAUCCCAUAAAGCCAUUCUCAGUUCGGAUUGCAGG